GGAUUAUUUUGGGAUAUUGGAUUUUGUCCAAAAAAUUAUGUCAUAUUUUUCGCUGUCUAGAGACAGUAGGUGGCGGUAGAUCAUGAUAGUGUGAACUGUAGCACGUCCUGGUUCGUGAAAAUGAUGGAACGUUCUGAUUGGCUCGCGCAAAACACUCGGAAUUCGAAUUUGGCAAACCAAACGGAUACGCAAAAAAAGCAGUGAGGAACUUUUAAGUGACCAUUGCCAGGCAGAGUGAUGCCACCGACAGGGAGGGGAAUGGACAACAAAGGCCCCAAAAAAAUGGCGCAAGAGGUUGAACAAACAUCUGCAUAUUGUGACAGUUCUCCAGCAAAAAAUAAAAAAACACACAGUAGUAAAACACCAGCUUCAAUCUCUUCAGAUUUGUUUGAGGGUGCACUUGCAGGUGCAAAUAGAGAGGUCAACAUGCUAUUUUCCAAAUACUCUGAAGUGUUGAGUGAGAGGGCUGCAAUAGA